CAGCAGCCGCGGUAAUACGAAGGGUGCAAGCGUUACUCGGAAUUACUGGGCGUAAAGCGUGCGUAGGUGGUGGUUUAAGUCCGUUGUGAAAGCCCUGGGCUCAACCUGGGAAUUGCAGUGGAUACUGGGUCACUAGAGUGUGGUAGAGGAUAGUGGAAUUUCCGGUGUAGCAGUGAAAUGCGUAGAGAUCGGAAGGAACAUCUGCGGCAAAGGCGACUAUCUGGGCCAACACUGACACUGAGGCACGAAAGCGUGGGGAGCAAACAGGAUUAGAUACCCCAGUAGUCCCUGUCUCUUAUAC
rnacentral:rRNA from 1 species